GAUGAACGCUGGCGGCGGGCCUAAUACAUGCAAGUCGAGCGAACAGACGAGGAGCGUGCGCCUCUGACGUUAGCGGCGGACGGGCGAGUAACACGUAGAUAGCCAACUAAUAAGACGGGGGGAACUUCGGGAAGCCGGUGCUACUACCGGCGAAUAUAUUGUACCGCAGGAAGCAAUAGUGAAAGGCGGUUUUGCCGUCAGAUAGAGACGAAUCCGGGCCGCCUUAGCUAGUUGGUAAGGUAACGGCUUACCAAGGCAACGAUGCGUAGCCGACCUGAGAGGGUGAUCGGCCACACUGGAACUGAGACACGGUCCAGACUCCUACGGGAGGCAGCAGUGGGGAAUCUUCCACAAUGGGCGCAAGCUUGACGGAGCCACGCCGCGUGAGUGAUGAAGGUCUUCGGAUCGUAAAACUCUUUUAUUAGGGAAGAACAACUGCGUAAUUAACUCUGCCCGUUUUGACGGUACCUAAUGAGAAAGCCCCGGCUAACUUCGUG
rnacentral:rRNA from 1 species